UGUAGCAAUACAAGGCAGACGGCUCAGUAACGCGUAGUCAACCUAACCUAUGGACGGGAAUAACCUCGGGAAACUGAGAAUAAUGCCCGAUAGAACACUAUACCUGGAAUGGUUUGUGUUCCAAAUGAUUUAUCGCCGUAGGAUGGGACUGCGGCCUAUCAGUUUGUUGGUGAGGUAAUGGCCCACCAAGACUAUUACAGGUACGGGCUCUGAGAGGAGUAGCCCGGAGAUGGGUACUGAGACACGGACCCAGGCCCUAUGGGGCGCAGCAGGCGAGAAAACUUUGCAAUGUGCGAAAGCACGACAAGGUUAAUCCGAGUGGUUUCUGCUAAAGGAACCUUUUGUCGGUCCUAGAAACACCGAUGAAUAAGGGGUGGGCAAGUUCUGGUGUCAGCCGCCGCGGUAAAACCAGCACCUCAAGUGGUCAGGAUGAUUAUUGGGCCUAAAGCAUCCGUAGCCGGCUCUGUAAGUUUUCGGUUAAAUCUGUACGCUCAACGUACAGGCUGCCGGGAAUACUGCAGAGCUAGGGAGUGGGAGAGGUAGACGGUACUCGGUAGGAAGGGGUAAAAUCCUUUGAUCUAUUGAUGACCACCUGUGGCGAAGGCGGUCUACCAGAACACGUCCGACGGUGAGGGAUGAAAGCUGGGGGAGCAAACCGGAUUAGAUACCCGGGUAGUCCCAGCUGUAAACUAUGCAAACUCAGUGAUGCAUUGACUUGUGGUCAAUGCAGUGCUGCAGGGAAGCCGUUAAGUUUGCCGCCUGGGAAGUACGUACGCAAGUAUGAAACUUAAAGGAAUUGGCGGGGGAGCACCACAAGGGGUGAAGCCUGCG
rnacentral:rRNA from 1 species